UUUUGGCCCAACACAUGCACAAAAACAUAGAGGAGGAGUUUGAUUCAAUUUUUCCAGUCCAUUAUAAAACAGGGAAAUCAGUGCAAGAACAGAUUGAAAAAUUCAGUAUCAUCCAAAGUGACUGUGAGCACCCCAGAGCUUCAAUGUUUUAUCACAUUGACAACUUCAUCAAAAGAGAGGAAAUCAAACUCAAGAUGGAGCUCAAAAGACAAGUUAUUGAAAGAAAGAAGGAAAUCUACUUAUCUAUCACAAACACGAUUAAGGAUGCAAUGGUUCCCAGUUAUGCAAGUGUGGCCCGGAAUA